AUACGUAGGGGGCGAGCGUUAUCCGGAUUUAUUGGGCGUAAAGCGUGUGUAGGCGGUUUAUUAAGUCUAAGAUUAAAGCCUGAGGCUUAACCUCAGUUCGUUUUAGAAACUGGUAGACUUGAGUGUGGUAGAGGCAAGUGGAAUUUCUAGUGUAGCGGUUAAAUGCGUAGAUAUUAGAAGGAACACCAGUGGCGAAGGCGGCUUGCUGGGCCAUUACUGACGCUGAGACACGAAAGCGUGGGGAGCAAAUAGGAUUAGAUACCCUAGUAGUCCACGCCGUAAAUGAUGAGUACUAAGUGUCGGGAAACCGGUGCUGAAGUUAACACAUUAAGUACUCCGCCUGAGUAGUACGGUCGCAAGGCUGAAACUCAAAUGAAUUGGCGGGG
rnacentral:rRNA from 1 species